UACGUAGGGACCGAGCGUUGUCCGGAAUCAUUGGGCGUAAAGAGCGUGUAGGCGGCCACUUAAGUCCUGCAUGAAAUCUUGCGGCUCAACCGCAAGCGGUCGUGGGAAACUGGGUGGCUAGAGUGCGGGAGAGGAGAGUGGAAUUCCUGGUGUAGCGGUGGAAUGCGCAGAUAUCAGGAAGAACACCCGUGGCGAAGGCGGCUCUCUGGAACGCAACUGACGCUGAGACGCGAAAGCGUGGGGAGCAAACAGG
rnacentral:rRNA from 1 species